rnacentral:rRNA from 1 species
AGGGCACCACCAGGAGUGGAGCCUGCGGCUUAAUUUGACUCAACACGGGAAAACUUACCUGGUCCUGACACUAGAAGGAUUGACAGAUUGAUAGCUCUUUCUUGAUUUGGUGGAUGGUGGUGCAUGGCCGUUCUUAGUUGGUGGAGUGAUUUGUCUGGUUAAUUCCGAUAACGAACGAGACUCUAGCCUAUUAAAUAACACGCAGAAUCUUGUCUUCUGCGGUGUUUCUUAAUGGGAUCAAGUGUAUUUAACGCUUUGAAACAGAGCAAUAACAGGUCUGUGAUGCCCUUAGAUGUUCGGGGCUGCACGCGCGCUACAUUGAAAGACAAAAUGAGCCUUCUAGUUUUUAAUAAAGCUAGUAAUCUUUGAAUGUUUUUCUUAAUGGGGAUAGGGGAUUGCAAUUGUGCCCCUUGAACGAGGAAUUCCCAGUAAGUGCUAAUCAUUAGUUAGUACUGAUUACGUCCCUGCCCUUUGUACACACCGCCCGUCGCUACUACCGAUUGAAUGGUUUAGUGAGAU